CAUCUGGCAGGAUUCACAUCCUGCAAAAAGGUGGUUAUUUUAGAAGUAAAUGCAUUCUCAUGGUUAGUUUAACUGGCUAGUGAUUCAGCGAAAAGCCUCAAGCUCCUACAAAAGCUCAGUUUUCUCAUUUUAAAAUGGAGUUUCACUGUCUACCACAUAGGAUUACUAAAGGUUUAAAUAAGACUAUUUAUGUACAGUGCUUAACAAUGCCUGAUAGACACUGUAUUUCUACUAAUAACAAUAUCAAAAGCUGUUAGUAAGUGAUUACUAUGUCCCUGGCAUUGUGCUAAGUAUUUUAUGUAGAUUAUCUCAUUUAAUCUUGACAACAACCCUGUCAGGAAGAUUCUUACAGAAAUCAAAUGAAAAUGGAAGCAAUAUCCAAUAGCAGUACCUUUUCAUGGAGCUGCAAAGCAACAUGGUGCUCAUUUUCUAGAAAUAAAAGUUACAGUUAUAUAGAGAGAAAAGGGAUGAGGAAUGAGAGGGAUCAGGAGGCAUAUUCAUGUUCUAAGAGCUCUUUUUGAAGAGGAGCCUGAAAAGUCAUUGGCCAACACUUGUGAAAGGAUGCCUCAUGCUUUGGUGGGGCAUCAGCAACAGAGGUUAGAAGGUCUAGAGUUAGCUCUAAGGAAAACAGAAGUGAAACACUUUCUGCAUUGUUCUGAACAUAUUGAGGUGAGAUUAGGACCUAUGAGAGAAGAUGAAGGCCCAGUGCAUGGAAGGUAAUCCUUGGUGGAGAGAGGGCAGGACAGGGACAGGUGGGCAACUUCAGGGAGAAUAUCUGAUGCUGAAGUCCUAAGGCCCUAAAACAUCUCUUAAGAUGGAAAUUCCAGAACUGGAGUUUUUACAGCAAGAGAUGAAAUCUCUAGGAGAGGGAAAAUAAAUACUCUGGCUGUGCUGAUCGAGGGCUUGCAUGUGUUUGGGGAGGGGAUGGCAGGACUCUUCAUAAAUACAUAUUUUAAAAUUAUUUUAUUGAGGUAAAUACACUUAGAGAAAAAUGCACAAAUCAUAAGUGUACAGUUUGAUGAAUGAUCACAAAGUGAAUACACCCAUGUAACCACCACCCAGGUCAAGAGAGAGAACAUUACCAUCUUUAUAAAUAUUUGUUACUUGUGGUUUUCACAUGCUUAGUUUCUUAAAUGAAUUGGUGUCCUUCUUUCUUAGAUAUGCAAAGUCAAACAGGGGCAGUGAAGAUUGCUUUUGCAUAAGACGAGAAAGGAGGGCUUCCUCUAAAGAUGAGUUAGGGAAAAGACUUAAAAUCCAGAAAACUACAAAAAAAGAUUUUAAAAUCUUGUAGGCAUAAACAAAGCAUGAAACAUGGGAUAAUUUUACAUGCCUCCAAAUCCAUCAGGGCAUUUAAAAAAUUGAGGUUCAAAGAGGAAUCUCCAUUAAAGAAAAGGGAUAUGUUGUUUAAAGCCUUUGAGGAUAUAUCGUUUUGGCACCAUUUUAACACUUGGUGUCCUCAGCAAAUUUGUGUCACUAAUGAUGCUAAGUUACUAUUUUUUAUGUAAUACAUGGUGAUCCUGUAUCCUCCCAAACCGUAACCUGGACAUGGUGUAUUUUAGCGACAAGAUUAUUGGAAAUGCUGUGAAAAGAAAGAAGAGGAAAUCUGUUGCCCUAUCAGAGGAGGAAAGACCAUGCGGACUUGGCUGGCACAAGAAGCUGUUUGCUUACCUUUAAUGCUGGUGUUUGUGGCAUUGCCAAGGCUGGGAGAGAAGCAUGCUGGGCCUGGCAAGGAGGAAGAUUUGAGACAAAAACCAGUGUCAGGAGGAGUUAAGGAAGGAGGCAGAUCAAUCCUCCCGUCCCGCUCUUGCAGUUGCCACAGUGAUGGGUGUGGUCUGUGGUGGUGAGAAAUGGAAGCAGGAAACCAGGCCUCCUCCUGUCUUGCCAAGCUCACCCCCUAAAUAACAGCAUUGUACAUCUUUCCAGUUCUUCAUCUUAGACAAAUGUUUUCCCUACCAUGGAAGUAAACAGGAAACAUUUAGAAAUUUCCUUGAUUUAAUGAUGAAAUUUAGAGUCAGACAAUUUAUGUAGGGGAAUCAGAUAGUUAAAACGGAGGCUUAGUGCCUGGAGUAACGGCACGGUGGGUUAAGCUGCUACCUGUUAUGUCUGCAUCCCAUAUCCAUAUCCAAGUGCUGGUGUGAGUGCUGGCUGCUCUGAUUCUGGUUCAGUUUCCAGGUAAGGAGCCUGGAGAGGCAGUAGAGAACGGCAUGAGUGCUUGGGCCACUACCGCCCAUGUGGGAGACCUGAAUGAACUUCUGGGCUCCUGGCUUCGGCCUGGACUCGCCCCAGCUUUUGUGUCCAUCUGGAAGUGAAUCAGUGGGUGGAAGGUCUCUCUUUCUCUGUCACUUUGCCUGUCAGAUAGAUAGAUAGAUCGAUCUUAAAACAAAAAACCCAAAACCAAGGCUUUCUAGGCCCAUAAUUCUGUGCUUGUUCCUCCAUACUAUUUUGUCACAUUCACAUACCUCCUUUUCUUCCCAUUUAUGUCUUUCUGAUCUUUAGCUUCUUCAUGAGUAAGACUUUUUUUUUUUUUUUUUUUUUUUUUGACAGGCAGAGUGGACAGUGAGAGAGAGAGAGACAGAGAAAAGGUCUUCCUUUGCCGUUGGUUCACCUUCCAAUGGCCGUGGGUGCACCGUGCUGAUCUGAUGGCAGGAGCCAGGUGCUUAUCCUGGUCUCCUGUGGGGUGCAGGGCCCAAGCACUUGGGCCAUCCUCCACUGCCCUCCUGGGCCACAGCAGAGAGCUGGCCUGGAAGAGGAGCAACCGGGACAGAAUCCGGUUCCCCGACUGGGACUAGAACCUGGUGUGCCGGCGCCGCAAGGCGGAGGAUUAGCCUAGUGAGCCGCGGCGCUGGCAAGACUGGUUGUUAACACCUUCUUCACUGGGUCUGUGAGGAAACUGCAUCAGGCAGCAUGUAUGGAGUACUAAAUGCAAUAGUAGCUAUUGUUGACAAAAGACAACCUCAUGGUUUGAAAGAUUUUGUGUAUUGUAUUGCACAUACUGGAUAAUAUUUUUUCAUUAUUUACUGAAGCCACUUAAGACCAAGACUGCCAUUGGAACUUCUGAUCAGCAACUGCAUCAAGACUGAACUGAUUUAAUUCCAAUGAAGGCAAAGAAAUCUGAUAUUAAAAGAACUUCUACUGAUCUAAGUAAAUGCACUUCCUUCAGGUCACUUACAGUGUCUAAAACAUCGUGUGGAUCUCUAGUGCUGUCUUUGCAGAUUCUGGACAUAGCUGGACUCUCAUUUUUCAAUGAAUAAGCCAAAGCUCAUUAUUAUAAUCUGAGUGAGUUGACGUUUUGUGUGUGAUCUAAUUCAAUUUUUAGAAUGUUACAAUUUUUCCAUCACAUCAUGGGAAAUUGGUGUGGUCCAGAAAUAAUAAAAAUGUUCAUUUAGAAUGAAGCUAAACAUGAAUUUUUAACACAUUAACAGAAGUUACUGAUUAAUGGGCACCCCAAUAUUUCAGAUACUCUAUUCUGAUAUAUAAGAAUCAAAUUAUUUCAUUCAUUGUAACUAAAGGCCAAGUUCAGUUAUAAUUUUUAACAUUAUUUCUUUUUUGGGUUUCUCAUUCCAUUCAGUCAUGAAAAUUUUAUAAUAUCAGAUAAGAAAGGAAAAAACUAGUACAUACAAAUUAGAUCAAAGGCCAAAUCUAAUAGUUAAAAGGGCAAAUUAUACAGCAUAUUGAAAAAGACACAUUUAUAUAAACCCAUUUCUUAUUUUGCCAAGAUGUGCUACAUGGAGAAUAAAUUUUGAGUCUUUCAAAUACUAUUGGAUCAGCCUAAAAUAAUUUCAUUGUGAGAGCAUUUUCCUUCUCUGUGUGCAGUCUAAGUGCAUAUUUUGUGCUCUUAGGAAUAACUUUCCAAAGCUGUGUGAAGAAUGUGGCAAUAAAAUCUAAUAAGAAUUAUGGCUCAUGACUUGAAUGAUGUCAGUACCCUUUUAAUCCUCCCAAACAUGAAACCGUUUUCUCCUUCUAAAUAAGAUUUCUUAACUCUUUAUUUCUUUUUUUAAAAGAUUUAUUUAUGUAUUUGAAAGGCAGAGAUAACUGAGAGAGAGAGAGAAAAAGAGAGAGAGCACUUCUAUCCACUGGUUCACUCCCCAAACGGCCACAACAGCGGGGCUGAAGCCUCUUCCGGGUCUCCCAUGUGGGUGUGGGGGAACAAGCACUUGGCCAUCCUCUGCUGCCUUCCCAGACACAUUAUCGAGGAGGUGAAUCAGAAGCGGAGCUGUCAGGACUCAAAGAGGUGCCAGUAUGAGAUGCUGGCUCUGCAGGUGGCGCCUUAACCUUCUAUGCCACAGCACCGGCUCCUUUACUCUAUUUGCAAGGAAGUAAGCUCGCUCUGCCAUUCCAGUGGAACAGUAAGAGUUAAAGAAACGUGUUUCUGACAGCAAUGCUUCUACUUAUUAAGGUUACAAUUUUAGAAAAGUGUAUUGUAGACAGUAAUAUUUUAUUAGUACUUCCUGUCUUUUUUCAUGUAGGAUUGAACAUCAGAAGAUCUGUUGACUUCAGUGUUAUAAUCUUUUGUUUUCUUUAAGACAGUGGUUUUCAAAUUUGAUCAUGGAUCAGAAUUACCUGGAGAGCUUGUUGAAAUGCUGCUUACCGGGCCCAUUCUGAGUUUCUGAUUAAGGUAACUGGGGUACAGUGCAAGAAUGUGCAUUUCUAAUAGGUUCUCAGGUGCUGCUGGCGCAGUGAUUAUUAUUAUUUUUUUUAUUUGACAGGUAGAGUUAUAGACAGAGAGAGAAAGAGAGAAAGGUCUUCCUUCCAUUGAUUCACCCCCCAAAUGGCUGCUACGGCCAGCGCACUACGCUGAUCCGAAGCCACGAGCCAGGUGCUUCCUCCUGGUCUCCCAUGUGGAUGCAGGGCCCAAGCACUUGGGCCAUCCUCCACUGCACUCCCGGGCCACAGCAGAGAGCUGGACUGGAAGAGGAGCAACCGGGACUAGAACCAGUGCCCAUAUGAGAUGCUGGCGCCACAGGCAGAGGAUUAACCAAGUGACCCACAGCACUGGCCCUGCAGUGAUUACAUUUUAACAACUACUUUAACCCAUGUUACAAAUAACUUCAUUUUAUAACUUAUCUUGGUGCAAUUCAACCAUCACGAGGCAUGUAGUCUGGUUGGUGUAGUUGAAGCCAGUGUCAGUCAAUGAGCUGCUGUUUGGCUGGAUUUAUUCAAAGUCAAAGAGCUACAUACAGAACUGUGCAGUCGUGGAAGCAGUCCGAGGCCUGAAGCUGUCAGACUGAAGAAUCUCUACGGUGGCCAUGGAUGAGAGUUCCUGUUGCUCCACAUCCGCCACAGCAUUUGGUGUUCUCCAUGUUUUGGUGUUUGGCUUUUCCAAUAGGAGAUGCCAUAGAAAGAACUAAUGAGCGUCAACUGGGGUGGUUCUGAACCAUUGCAUUGCGGCUGUACUGUCGGUGGUGAUCAGAAGCACUUCAGUCAAAGUGUGCCGAUUGCCUGUGUGCAGUGAAUAAACGUUCCUUAACCCCUACUGUUAGCCACCCAAUGUGCAGCCAACCAUUUGAGAACAACAUCUCAAAGGCAAUAAAAUUCUGUUUUUUUAUCAGAGAAAAAAAUAGUCACUUCAGAUGCCAACCAGAGCAACACAUCAAAUUAAACAUCCAGUUCUCCAGACCUAUCCAAACCCUCGCUCUUGGACCAACCCUCUCUCAGUCAUAUUAAAUUUGGACUGGACCCAGUAGAAUAACAUGGCCUGUCAGAAAUGGCCAGGAAGAUUCUCGGAAAUUGAAACAAAAGUAUAUGGGAGUUCCCUUGAAGAUGAGAAAUGGGAAGAAAGAAACUCAUUCAGCUUACAGCAGUUUCAACCAGUUUGUGCUUCUUUGGACAAGGGAAAAGUUGCAGUGGAAUGGAUUUUAAGUAGGUAGGCUGUUGGGCUCCAUUUACUGAUGAUGUUAGUUUAGAACCCAACUUGAGGGCCAUCCAAGUCUGGACCCAUGAUUGCCUCCUGAAAGCUCUUGUUUGUCUUUGAAUUUCGUCUUCUGCUUCCCUGCUUUCCUGAACUGAACUCUCUCCCUUCUUUCUCGGUUCUCAUCCCUCAUCCAGCUGGCCUUUCUGCACUGAGUCUCAAAGAGCACCCUCAGUGUUCAGAGGUGUGUUCUGGAUUCCAGACAGGCUGCUCAUUGAGAUGUGAGGCCAGUCAGAAACAAGGUAGGGAAAAGUACAGGGAAGGAGAUGACAGGAUGUAAAUUUUACUGGUUCGAUUCUUAAAACUUGGACAAUAUCUGGAAACCUAAAUGAGUCUUCAGCUUUUGUCACACUGGCGAAGUUGCUAAAAUCAAGGUCAAGUGUCAUUUGCUCACCUGGAUAUAAGUAAAAAUUAAAUUAUGAGUAAAUGAUUCUCUAAAAUGAUUUAUUUAUAAUAGUUCUAACCUAAUCCUAAAGGCUAUAGUGUGAGUGGGAUUUGGUAUGUAGUCUAUGGCUUAUUAUUAUUAAACAUUUAAAGGGCAAUAUGCCCUUGCUUCCAGUGCCCUGUGCCCUGAAUAUAAACACAGUGUUUCUCACCUGUGGGUCCCAGGGCUGCCCAGGGUGGACAGUACUCAGUUUGGGAUAGGGGAGAAGUGUUGCCAACUACAGCUUGAGGAAAAACAUGCUCUAAGUCAGUAUUUCUCAACUUUAGUGAGCACCAGGGCCACCUGGAAGGCUCUUGAAGGCACACACCGCUGAGCAGGCACCAUGGAGUUUCAGAUUCAACAAGUAUGAACAAGACCCAAGAAUUUAUAUUUCAAAGGUUCUUGUACGAGACCAGUGCUGCAGGUCCUGGGAACCACCAAGAGCUAUAACUCUGAAGCCUACAGAGAGAGGAAAAGAAGAGAUUGGGUAGUGGGUCUGUCUGUAACCACAGAUGAGCAGUCAGUUCCAGUCCAGCCCACUUGUCCCAUCAUUGUGUGUCUUAGGGCUUUGUCUCGAUAUCCUUAUGGUUUCCUUUAAGGAUCAGUUAUGCCGAGUCUGUAUUCUUUCAGGCUGCCUGUGUCUUCAGUCCACAAAAUAUCAUAGAUGUGGGUGGGGGGUCUCUCAUAAUUUAGACAUUGCAGAACUAAAGACACCUGUGCCCAGGAAGGGCCAGAGAGGUCAGUAAACCAUCGUCUUAGUGUCUCCAUGACCUUAGUAGAACUGGGCUUUGAACAACUUUAGUCAGAGUGGGUUAUGAGGUAACUGAUACAGGAGAUAGUGUUUUGGAUUUCAGUGUAAAAGGUAUCUGACGAUCAAGGAGAGAAAUAAGAGCUUUUGUUGUGAGAAAACUUGGGGAGAUGAUGAAUGUGUGUUCUGCUUCAGUGGUGAUAUGGAAAUGCUGUGGCUGGAGAAGUUCAGUUUAGGGUGAUUAUGAAUGUAAAUGAGAGAGAAAAAUUAGGCCUGAGCAGUAGGAAACAGCUAUUUGUAAAAAAAAAAAAAAA